rnacentral:rRNA from 1 species
UACGUAGGGUGCAAGCGUUGUCCGGAAUUAUUGGGCGUAAAGAGCUCGUAGGCGGUUUGUCGCGUCGGCUGUGAAAACUCGGGGCUCAACCCCGAGCCUGCAGUCGAUACGGGCAGACUAGAGUCCGGCAGGGGAGACUGGAAUUCCUGGUGUAGCGGUGAAAUGCGCAGAUAUCAGGAGGAACACCAAUGGCGAAGGCAGCUCGCUGGGACGGUACUGACGCUGAGACGCGAAAGCGUGGGGAGCAAACAGG